CCAAGAAAGCCAUCACUGACGCCGCCAUGAUGGCGGAGGAGCUGAAGAAGGAGCAGGACACCAGCGCCCACCUGGAGCGGAUGAAGAAGAACAUGGAGCAGACGGUGAAGGACCUGCAGCACCGUCUGGACGAGGCUGAGCAGCUGGCGCUGAAGGGCGGCAAGAAGCAGAUCCAGAAACUGGAGGCCAGGGUACGUGAACUUGAAGGAGAGGUUGAGAAUGAACAGAAACGUAAUGCUGAGGCCGUUAAAGGGUUAAGGAAGCACGAAAGAAGAGUAAAGGAACUUACCUACCAGACCGAGGAGGACCGCAAGAACGUGCUGAGGCUGCAGGACCUGGUGGAUAAAUUACAGGCGAAGGUGAAAUCUUACAAGAGACAAGCAGAGGAGGCUGAGGAACAAUCCAACGUCAACCUGGCCAAGUUCCGCAAGCUGCAGCACGAGCUGGAGGAAGCCGAGGAGCGGGCAGACAUCGCCGAGUCCCAGGUCAACAAGCUGCGGGUGAAGAGCCGCGAGGUUCACACCAAAAUCAGUGCAGAGUAAACGCAUCUUGAGGAGGCCGCCAAGUGGCUGAAGGAAAGCACAGAAUGUGCUGCCUUGGGUCGCUUGCUGGGUCACUUGCCUCUCUGUGUUUACUUUUCUCCCACUGCUGACUGAAUAAAAACCACAACUCAUUGAUAAAUUAAA
rnacentral:lncRNA from 1 species